rnacentral:tRNA from 1 species
CUCCGCUUGGUGUAGUUGGUGUAAGUUCUAACGUCAACCCUAUUCUCACUCAGCCUCUAACAUCUUCUCUAGUUAUCACGUUCGACUGUAAAUCGAAAGGUCCCUAGUUCGAUUCUGGGAGCGGAGA